CCUGGCACUAGCAGGGAUAAAACUCACAUCUGCCUGCUGCACAAGGCCAGGCACCUGAAUGAAAGGGCCUAUGACACAUGGGUGAGCUGUGCAAGGCAUACAGAAACCCCCACACAUUAGGAAACAAAGCAGAGAAAGAGGCGGGGGGAGUAAAUGGGCUCUGCGCCCCUGUAUAAACGGCACAAGUUCCCCUCUGUGAGCUCGGGUGGGAAUCCGGCACUGCCACGCCUACCUAGGGAGCAGAACACUAAAGAAGUUGCAGCUGCAAACACGGAAGUGCCCAUCCUCCUGAAGGCAAGAAAAGGCCAAUUCAUGAGACCUGAACCCGUUGACAGAACAGGGCCGGCUACGAGGUAUCUCCCAGCUCGACACGUUCGUGUGGGGGGAAAAGCGCUGAAAGGGUCAACGUGUCCUAUUCCGAUCUUUCUGAAACAAAACAUUUCAGACCCGUUUGAUCUGCAACGACGUCUUGUUUGGAUGUUUACGCUGAUUGAAUCGACACAUCGCCAGUGACCGGAACAGAAUGGGCUUUUUUCAGAUCUGUUUUGGCUGGUGGAAAAUGUCAAGAUUUUGACUUUUUUGCCCCAAUUUGGGAGGGGAACAUUUUUCAGUAUUUCCCACAUUCUCACAGGGUAGGAAAGAGGCUGCCGGCCUAGCUUGAGUGUCUAUCUUGUCUGUUUAGCUUGCAGAUUCUUUGGGGCAGGGACUGUUUCUAUUUGAUGGUUGUACAACACACAGCCCAAUGGGGCCCCAGUUUUAUCUGGGACCCACUCCAUGUUACAAGUAUCUGAUUGCCCUCUAAUUUCCUGCUCUCACUUUCUCAUCAGUGUCUCUGUCUCUGUCCAAAGGAGAUUUGUAUCCUCCUACUUGUUUAGCCAUCAAUUCAAAAUGCAGAGUGUACAGAAAGUGCAGCGCCUGCCACAAUAGGCACAUGGUCUGUGGCUGGAGCUCCAAGGUCCCAGCAUGAUACCAGCCAAUAAAUAAAUAAUAAAUAACCAGGAUCCUUGCCCUGGCCCUGCCUGAAGCUUCUCCAACCCGCAGGUGUUCACAAAUCAUGAGUCAAGGCUUCCAAAACCCAUGAGAUUUAAAUCAAUAAAUUAAAUGGGGUUUGUGUUAUUUGCCUUCUGGGUUCUGAGCCUUCUGAGCCGUGUUUUCCAGCUUUUCUCCUCAGCCAUGAGGGCUAGAAGCUUGUUUUACUACUUUUGAAAGGAAGCUGAGAUGCUUGGUGCCAUCACCUGACUCCAGGAGCUGGGGCUUUAAGAAAAAAACCCACCCACUGUUGUGGUAAAAUUGCACGAGUUGGUAUCCCAGGGACCGAGAUCUCUGCAAGGGGGAAUGGAGGAGCACAGGUCCCGCUGACCUCCCUCCCUCCUUAGCCCAGGCACCGUGGCAGAGGGUCACUUCAUGGCCUGUUUAGCAGCUCCAGCGGGCUCUAAGUUGUGGUGAAAUCAGUUGCGGGAACCGCAGGAACCACCACGUCGCACCCAGUCGCCGUUGCACGGCCACGGCGACACCGACACAGUGAUGUCACACCCGAACAAUGAUGUUACACCCAGACGCCGUUGCAUGGCGACACUGGCACAGUGAUGUCACACCCGAACAAUGAUGUCAUACCCAGAUGCCAUUGCACGGUGACACUGACAUGAUGUCACACCCAAACACCAGUGCAAAGACAUCACAUCCAAACACAGCAGCUCAGUUACACCGGCAUGAUGUCACACCUGAACACCUGCAAGGUGAUGAUGUCACAGCCAAAGGCCUGCAUGGUGGUGACGUCACAAGAAAACGCCCGGGGAGAAAAAUAGGGCCCCCCCUUACUGUCCUGAAAGGGGCCUGACAAAAGCGAUCUAGCAGAGGAUGGUUUCGAUCCAUCGACCUCUGGGUUAUGGGCCCAGCACGCUUCCGCUGCGCCACUCUGCUACGCAGCUAACGUCUCCCUCAAAUUUCUACAUGUAGCCCUGCGUUCGCGUGCUUGGCAUGCACGCACGCGCACUCGGCGCCCGGUGCGCCUCCCACG